AGCUAUAUCUACAAAACUAUUAUUAAAAAAUGGAAUCUAUGUCCAAAAUUGUUAAUGUGGCUAAAUUGAGACACAGGUUAUGCUUCCAUCACAGUAAAUGUAUUGCAGUGGUGACAAUGAGACCUGUAACAUUU